UACGGGGGGAGCAAGCGUUGUUCGGAUUUACUGGGCGUAAAGGGCGCGUAGGCGGCCAGCACAAUUCAGUUGUGAAAUCUCCGAGCUUAACUCGGAAAGGUCAACUGAUACUGUGCGGCUAGAGUGCAGAAGGGGCAACUGGAAUUCUUGGUGUAGCGGUGAAAUGCGUAGAUAUCAAGAGGAACACCUGCGGCGAAGGCGGGUUGCUGGGCUGACACUGACGCUGAGGCGCGAAAGCUAGGGGAGCGAACGGG
rnacentral:rRNA from 1 species